UACUAGAAUUCAUAACCAAAAACCCAUUUUGAAGUGAAGAUGGGAACAAAAGUGAUGAGGCCUUCAGUGGCUUCUCUAAUCACCAGUCUCCUAGUGGCAUUACUGUCUCUAAGCUUGCCAUUAGAGACCACAGCUAACUACCAUUACUCAUCUCCUCCACCACCUCCCAAGAAGUACCCACCACCACAUCCUCAUCCUUAUCACUACAAAUCACCACCGCCGCCGCCGCCGGUACACUACUCACCGCCACAUCAUCCCUACAAGUACAAAUCCCCACCACCACCGCCGCCUCCAGUUUACAAGUACAAAUCACCACCACCACCAUCACCGCUACCACCAGUGCACCACUUACCACCACCACAUCCGUAUAAAUACAAAUCUCCACCGCCACCACCAGUGCACCAAUUACCACCAGUGCACCAUUUACCACCACCACAUCCGUACAAGUACAAAUCUCCACCACCACCACCAGUGCACCAUUUACCACCAGUGCACCACUUACCACCACCACAUCCGUACAAAUACAAAUCUCCACCACCACCACCGCCUCCAGUUUACAAGUACAAAUCACCACCACCACCAUCACCGCCACCACCAGUACACCACUUACCACCACCACAUCCGUAUAAAUACAAAUCUCCACCGCCACCACCAAUGCACCAAUUACCACCAGUGCACCACUUACCACCACCACAUCCGUACAAAUACAAAUCUCCACCACCACCACCAGUGCACCAUUUACCACCAGUGCACCAAUUACCACCAGUGCACCACUUACCACCACCACAUCCGUACAAAUACAAAUCUCCACCGCCACCACCAGUGCACCAAUUACCACCAGUGCACCAUUUACCACCACCACAUCCGUACAAAUACAAAUCUCCACCACCACCACCAGUGCACCACUUACUACCGCCAAUCCACAAGUCUCCACCACUGCCACCACACAAGAAGCCCUACAAGUACUCGUCUCCUCCCCCACCACCCUACAAGUACAAGUCUCCUCCUCCUCCCCCUCCAGUUUACAAAUAUAAGUCACCACCGCCACCACCUCCGGUGCACAAGCCACCACCCCACCACUACCACUACAGCUCACCUCCUCCUCCCCACCACUACUAAGAAAUGGCUUUGAUAUAGUUCUAAGUUGUGUUGCUGGUUUUGUUGUUUUUGGUGGCUUCACCAACUUCUGAGGAAAGGAGCUGAAUAAAAUAAAGAAGGCCAGUGUUUGCAAAGCUUUUUUAAUUAGAGAAGAGAGAGAAGGAAGGCAACAAGAAGAUGAGGACGAGCAAGAAGAAGUAGAAUAAGCCAAAAAAACAGCCUGUGUGUUUGAUUGUAUGUUGAUAAUGUUGUAAUAUUGCAGUGGUCCAUGCAAGUAUGCAUGUAUGAAUGUUUUGACCUCUUGACAAGUGUGCAGAGAGGUCAUUUAUAUAAUAAAAAAGUGAUAAUGUUUCAUCCUUUCACA